AGGAUUAUAGUUUAAAAUAAAACUUUUGAUUUGCACUCAAAAAAUAUUGAAUUUCAAUUUAUCUU
rnacentral:tRNA from 1 species